rnacentral:rRNA from 1 species
UGGUCAAGUUAUUAAGGGUGCAGGGCGGAUGCCUUGGCACUAGGAGCCGAUGAAGGACGUGAUAAGCUGCGAUAAGCUUCGGGGAGUUGCACGUAAACUUUGAUCCGAAGAUUUCCGAAUGAGGAAACUCACUUAGAGUAAUGUCUAAGUAUCAUUAAGUGAAUACAUAGCUUAAUGAGGGGAACUCAGGGAACUGAAACAUCUAAGUACCUGAAGGAAGAGAAAGAAAUUCGAUUCCGUAAGUAGCGGCGAGCGAACGCGGAUUAGCCCAAACCAAUAAAGUUUUCUUUAUUGGGGUUGCGGACAUAUCAUAACGAAGAGGUAUCGUAAUUGAAGAGGUUUGGAAAGACCCACCACAGAAGGUAAUAGUCCUGUAUGUUAAACGAGAAGACUUUAGAUAUGAUCCAGAGUACCACGGGACACGUGAAACCCUGUGGGAAGCAGGAGGGACCACCCUCCAAGGCUAAAUACUACCUAGUGACCGAUAGCGUAUAGUACCGUGAGGGAAAGGUGAAAAGAACCCCGGGAGGGGAGUGAAAUAGAACCUGAAACCCUGCACUUACAAGCUGUGGAAGCACAUUUCUUGUGUGACCGCGUACUUUUUGUAGAACGGGCCAACGAGUUACGUUAAGUAGCAAGGUUAAGCACUUAAGGUGCGGAGCCGUAGCGAAAGCGAGUUUUAACUGAGCGUUCAGUUACUUGACGUAGACCCGAAACCGGGCGACCUACCCAUGAGCAGGAUGAAGCGAAAGUAAAAUUUCGUGGAGGUCCGAACCCACGAGCGUUGAAAAGCUCGGGGAUGACUUGUGGGUAGCGGUGAAAUUCCAAUCGAGCCCGGAGAUAGCUGGUUCUCCCCGAAAUAGCUUUAGGGCUAGCCUCAAGGUGAGAGAUACGGAGGUAGAGCACUGAAUGUCCUAGGGGGUAUUGCACCUACCGAAGACUAUCAAACUCCGAAUGCCGUCAUCUUAUACUUGGGAGUCAGACUGUGGGUGAUAAGAUUCAUAGUCGAAAGGGCAACAGCCCAGAUCGUCAGCUAAGGUCCCUAAAUGUAAGUUAAGUGGUAAAGGAUGUGGGAUUGCACAGACAACCAGGAUGUUGGCUUAGAAGCAGCCACUCAUUCAAAGAGUGCGUAAUAGCUCACUGGUCGAGUGAUCCUGCGCCGAAGAUUUCCGGGGCUAAAACUUACUACCGAAGCUACGGCAUCAGUAAUGAUGGGUAGGGGAGCUUCCCAUACGGGUUGAAGCAUGACCGUAAGGACAUGUGGACAGUAUGGGAGUGAGAAUGUUGGCAUGAGUAGCGAGAUGUGGGUGAGAAUCCCACAGGCCGUAAACCCAAGGUUUCCAGGGGAAGGUUCGUCCGCCCUGGGUUAGUCGGGACCUAAGCUGAGGCCGAAAGGCGUAGGUGAUGGACAACAGGUUGAUAUUCCUGUACUACCGAUAACCGUUUGAGAGAAGGGAUGACACAGUAGGAUAAGCUAAGCACACUGUUGGUUAUGUGUGCCCAAGCAUUGAGGCAGUCAAAGUAGGCAAAUCCGCUUUGAUAAUGCUGGGAUGUGAUGGGGAGCGAAAUUUAGUAGCGAAGUAGCUGAUUUCACACUGUCAAGAAAAGUCUCUAUCGAGGUUAAAGGUACCCGUACCGCAAACCGACACAGGUGGGUGAGGAGAGUAUCCUAAGGCCAGCGAGAGAACUGUUGUUAAGGAACUCGGCAAAAUGACCCCGUAACUUAGGGAUAAGGGGUGCCACCAUCAGGUGGCCGCAGAGAAUAGGCCCAAGCGACUGUUUACCAAAAACAUAGGUUUCUGCUAAGUCGCAAGACGAUGUAUAGGAGCUGACGCCUGCCCGGUGCUGGAAGGUUAAGGGGAUCUGUUAGAGCAAUCGAAGCAGUGAACUUAAGCCCCAGUAAACGGCGGCCGUAACUAUAACGGUCCUAAGGUAGCGAAAUUCCUUGUCGGGUAAGUUCCGACCCGCACGAAAGGCGUAACGAUUUGGGCACUGUCUCAACAACAGACUCGGUGAAAUUGUAAUUCCGGUGAAGAUGCCGGAUACCUGCGACAGGACGGAAAGACCCCAUGGAGCUUUACUGUAGCUUGACAUUGGGUCUUGGUACUACAUGUACAGGAUAGGUGGGAGGCUUUGAAACCAGGACGCCAGUUUUGGCGGAGCCAUCCUUGGGAUACCACCCUUGUAGUACUGGGACUCUAACCAUAGGCCAUGAAUCUGGUCUUGGGACACUGUCAGGUGGGCAGUUUGACUGGGGCGGUCGCCUCCCAAAAGGUAACGGAGGCGCUCAAAGGUUCUCUCAGUACGGUCGGAAAUCGUACGUAGAGUGUAAAGGCAAAAGAGAGCUUGAUUGCAAGACAUACAGGUCGAGCAAGGAUGAAAAUCGGACUUAGUGAUCCGGUGGUUCUGCGUGGAAGGGCCAUCGCUCAACGGAUAAAAGCUACCCUGGGGAUAACAGGCUUAUCUCCCCCAAGAGUCCACAUCGACGGGGAGGUUUGGCACCUCGAUGUCGGCUCAUCACAUCCUGGGGCUGUAGUAGGUCCCAAGGGUUGGGCUGUUCGCCCAUUAAAGUGGUACGCGAGCUGGGUUCAGAACGUCGUGAGACAGUUCGGUCCCUAUCCGUCGCAGGCGUAGGAAAUUUGAGAAGACCUGUCCUUAGUACGAGAGGACCGGGAUGGACGUACCUCUGGUGUACCAGUUGUCCUGCCAAGGGCAUGGCUGGGUAGCUAUGUGCGGAAUGGAUAAGCGCUGAAAGCAUCUAAGCGCGAAGCCAACUUCAAGAUAAGAUUUCCCACCGCAAGGGUAAGACCCCAGAAAGACUAUCUGGUUGAUAGGUCGAAGGUGUAAGUGCAGCAAUGUAUUUAGCUUAUCGAUACUAAUAGGUCGAGGACUUGACCAAU